UACGAAGGGGGCGAGCGUUGUUCGGAAUUACUGGGCGUAAAGGGCGCGUAGGCGGCGACCCAAGUCAGAUGUGAAAGUCCUGGGCUCAACCUGGGGGCUGCAUUUGAUACGUUCGGACUAGAGUGGGGAAGAGGGUCGUGGAAUUCCCAGUGUAGAGGUGAAAUUCGUAGAUAUUGGGAAGAACACCGGUGGCGAAGGCGGCGACCUGGUCCUUGACUGACGCUGAGGCGCGAAAGCGUGGGGAGCAAACAGG
rnacentral:rRNA from 1 species